rnacentral:lncRNA from 1 species
GAUGACCCAAAGAUUGAGUUAAAGAUUGAUUUUGAUGAUCACAAAACCUUGAAGUAUAAUUACUAAUGCUUGUGUUGCAAGAAGAAAGAUAAUUUGUUUUGCAAGGAACAUAGCAAGUUGGAAAAAUACAAGAAUGCCUCAAAAGCUCUCAAGAAAAGUUGGAAGAAAGCUACACUUCAUUGGCCCAAGUUUCAAGUUCA